AAAUAAAUAAAUAAAUAAAUAGCAGGCAUGGUGGUAUGCCCCUCUAGUCCCAUUGCUCAGGAGUUUGAGACCAGCCUGGGCAAUAUAGUAAGACCCUGUCUCUAAAUAAAUAAAUAAUUAUCAGGCAUGGUGGCAUGCCCCUGUAGUCCCAUUAGGAGGCUGAGGUGGGAGAAUCUCUUGAACCCAGGAGUUGAGUCUACAGUGAGUUACAGUCACGCUACUGCACUCUAGCCUCAGUGACAGAGCAAGACUCUGUCUCUAAAACAAAACAAAACAAAACAAAACAAAAAACAAACAUUGAAGCUGGGCAUGGUAGUGCAAGCCUGUAAUCCUAGCUACUUUGAGAGACAGAGGUAGGAGGAUCACUUGAGCCCAGAAGUUUGAUACCAGCCUGGGCAAUAUAGUGAGAAGCCAUCUCUUUUUAAUAUUUUUCUUUUUUUCUUCAGAACAAUAUGAAUAUAAAAAAAAAA
rnacentral:lncRNA from 1 species